CUUAUUUUGAGAUUGCAAAAAUGAUAUUGUGAUUUCUAGAGAUAUUAUUAUGACAUUUCAGGGCCUGUUGAUGUCGUUCUUUGAAAACGUCAGAUAUUGACAUUCGAGAGAUGAGUUAGGCAAGCAUGGCGCGGUUGGAUAUUCACGUUACAGACAAAGUGCUAGAUUUUUUACAUUUGUUUCUUCUAUUACAAACUUUACAACCUUCUUCAACAUAUGUAGAUGCAGUAGAAAGUCACAGCCAAGCGUUCAUCCAAACAGACAAACAUUUGACCUACAUUGUAGGUGAUAUUAGUGGAAUACCUUUAGAA